GAUGAACGCUAGCGGCAGGCUUAAUACAUGCAAGUCGAGGGGCAGCGCGGGUAGCAAUACCUGGCGGCGACCGGCAAACGGGUGCGGAACACGUACGCAACCUUCCCAUAACUGGUGAAUAGCCCUCCGAAAGGAGGUUUAAUACACCGUAACAUAACGAAGCGGCAUCUUUUUGUUAUUAGCGUAGCAAUACGGUUUUGGAUGGGCGUGCGCCUGAUGAGGUCUUUGGCGGGGUAACCGCCCACCAAGCCUGGGAUCAGUAACUGGUGUGAGAGCACGACCAGUCACACGGGCACUGAGACACGGGCCCGACUCCUACGGGAGGCAGCAGUAAGGAAUAUUGGUCAAUGGACGAAAGUCUGAACCAGCCAUGCCGCGUGAAGGAUUAAGGCCCUCUGGGUUGUAAACUUCUUUUAUCUGGGACGAAAAAAGGGCAUUCUUGCUCACUUGACGGUACCAGAGGAAUAAGCACCGGCUAACUCCGUGCCAGCCGCCGCGGUAA
rnacentral:rRNA from 1 species